rnacentral:rRNA from 1 species
ACAUCCAGAGAAUUUAGCAGAGAUGCUUUAGUGCCUUCGGGAACUCUGAGACAGGUGCUGCAUGGCUGUCGUCAGCUCGUGUCGUGAAAUGUUGGGUUAAGUCCCGNAACGAGCGCAACCCUUAUCCUUUGUUGCCAGCACGUAAUGGUGGGAACUCAAAGGAGACUGCCGGUGAUAAACCGGAGGAAGGUGGGGAUGACGUCAAGUCAUCAUGGCCCUUACGAGUAGGGCUACACACGUGCUACAAUGGCGCAUACAAAGAGAAGCGACCUCGCGAGAGCAAGCGGACCUCAUAAAGUGCGUCGUAGUCCGGAUUGGAGUCUGCAACUCGACUCCAUGAAGUCGGAAUCGCUAGUAAUCGUAAAUCAGAAUGUUACGGUGAAUACGUUCCCGGGCCUUGUACACACCGCCCGUCACACCAUGGGAGUGGGUUGCAAAAGAAGUAGAUAGCUUAACCUUCGGGAGGGCGUUUACCACUUUGUGAUUCAUGACUGGGGUGAAGUCGUAACAAGGUAAGCGUAGUGCU